UACGUAGGUGUCGAGCGUUGUCCGGAUUUAUUGGGCGUAAAGCGCCCGCAGGCGGCUUGGCAAGUUUGAGGUGAAAUCUCCCGGCUCAACUGGGAGGGUGCCUCGAAAACUGCCAGGCUUGAGUCAUGGAGAGGGAUGUGGAAUUCCAGGUGUAGUGGUGAAAUGCGUAGAUAUCUGGAGGAACACCGGUGGCGAAGGCGGCAUCCUGGACCGAGAUUGACGCUGAGGCGCGAAAGCCAGGGGAGCAAACGGG
rnacentral:rRNA from 1 species